CAGCCCCUCGAGGGGUGGGGAUGAUUAUUUGGCCUAAAGCGUCCGUAGCCGGCCGAGCAAUUCUUCCGUUAAAUCCAGCGUCUCAAGCGUUGGACUGCGGGAGAUACUACACGGCUAGAGAGUGGGAGAGGUCAGCGGUAUUCUGGGGGUAGGGGCGAAAUCCUUUGAUCCCCGGAGGACCACCAGUGGCGAAGGCUGCUGACUAGAACACGUCUGACGAUCAGGGACGAAAGCUGGGGUAGCGAACCGGAUUAGAGACCCGAGUAGUCC
rnacentral:rRNA from 1 species